rnacentral:rRNA from 1 species
UACGGAGGGUGCAAGCGUUAUCCGGAUUCACUGGGUUUAAAGGGUGCGUAGGUGGAUUUAUAAGUCAGUGGUGAAAGCCCCGAGCUCAACUUGGGAAUUGCCAUUGAUACUGUAGAUCUUGAGUGCGGUUGAGGUAGGCGGAAUGUUACAUGUAGCGGUGAAAUGCUUAGAUAUGUAACAGAACACCAAUUGCGAAGGCAGCUUACCAAGCCGAUACUGACACUGAUGCACGAAAGCGUGGGGAUCAAACAGG